GGGCUGCAGGCUUGGAGGGGUCGCUCUUGCAGACAGGCAUCAGGCAAAAAGAUCGCACCAGGAUGAAAGAUGCGGCUGGGGAAGCAGCGGUGUGUGAGUGCAGGGACCCUGGAUGAAGAGGAUUGCAUGGUCGGUGUGUAGCAGUGAUGCGGGAUCCAGAACUACAGUCUCAUCUGCAAUCCAUAAGGCUAGACUGCAGCUGCCCUAUCCAUGGUGCUGAAAUCAUCGGGUGACAAAACACAGGAGAGAACAGUAACAUUAUAACUAUUUUCUUUCUUAAAAAUAAUCCUCUAAUCGCCCGAUUUGCAGUCCCUUUUUAACAGGCGAGGCGUCAACAAGCAAUGAGUGACUCAUCGGCAGCAAGCUAAAAAGACACAAUAUACCUGUCUGACAUUCAGUGAUUUAACAAGUAACACAGUGCCUACAUUUCUGCACAAGAUUGUAAUACAUUAUCUUAAUAUGUAUCAAUCAUUUGCAGUUUCAGCCAAUAACUAAUGAGUUAACACCCCAUCAUUUUUGUCCAUGUGAGAUUUUUAAUCUCCCAUCAAGUAUCCAGUCUCCAUUAAAAUCAACGUGGUUAUAGCUAAUUGGAAGCAUUAUGCUUAUACACACACCUUGUUUUGGUUAUUGUACUUAAACUUUAUAGCUGUUAAUUGAACAUUUGUAGUAUUACAUAUGUUGCAUUCAUUUUGAAAACUGUGCAGCUAAUAAUGUCUCACCCUCCUUCUGUUGUGUAAAAUCUCUUUAACUCUUGUAUACAAUCAACAAAGCAUCUUAAUCCAGGGCUUGAUUCCAAAGAACAGUAACAACUAUUGUAUAAUCUCACAUGCUGGGUGAGAUAAUGCUCUCCUCAUUGUGUCAUCCUGCUGAGACUUAUGUCACCAAAGUAGCUAAUGGGUAAAAUAUAGAACAUGUUGACAUAUUUUCUUUCCUAUAGAAAUAGAAAAAGCAAAUACAGUUCAACAAACAGAAAAAAAGUAUAUAAAUGCUACACUAAAACCUGUCAGAAGAUGCAUUGUUAAAUAAAAAAACAACCUUUUCCACAGCACAUUAUGGUACUUUGAUGAUCCAACAAGACCUAAAGUUGAAUAUAUAUAGAAUUUGAAGAAAUUAAAGACAUUAUACUGUAUUAUGAUCAGUAAAUCACAGUAUUUUGUAGUUAAUUUAACCUAUUUUUACCAUCAACAUAUGAACUUUAUUUUCAAGGAGACUGUUGAAUAAAAAUAAGCAGGACAGUUUUAAAUUCAGCAUACCCGCUUGUCAGACCAUAUAACACAUCUUAGUCUCUUGGGAUUAAAUUUGUUUGAAAACCAACUGUGCUUGGUGAUAUCAUUCUAAUGGUUAUUUGCUCUCUGCAAAUUGCUGUAUUUCCCCAACCAGUCGUAUUUUAUUAGCUAUGCCUUCUGUUAUUUUAGUUACUACAAAACACAUUAGCACUUUUCUCCAGUUGUACUUUUAUUCAUUUGACUCUCAUCGACCUCUGCCAGUUAUUGAGUUGAUAAAUGUGCAUAUGUUUAUCUCUAAUAAAGUAAAAUGUAUAUAUUUA